GGAGGAGGCGCUCGCGUGCCAACACAGUUCGUGUUGAGCCUGUUUUUCGGUGCCGAGCACAAAUAGGAAAUAAGUUGAGUGCGCGUGUGUCGCGCACCGAUUUAAAUUUGAAAAAUUCGAUCGUUUUACAUUUUUUAAUUUUUUUUUAAGUUUUCAUUUUGACUGUUGUUGCCUCCAACGUCUCUUUCCUUUUCUUUUUUUUUUCUUUUUACUUUUUCUAUUUAUACUACAUCAUUUCCAUUUUUCACAAUUUUUUCCACAUCCAACACAACUCUCUCUCGCAUCUCAAUAUAUUCUCUCAUUUUUUUUAUUUCAAG
rnacentral:lncRNA from 1 species